rnacentral:rRNA from 1 species
UACGUAGGGUGCAAGCGUUGUCCGGAAUUAUUGGGCGUAAAGAGCUCGUAGGCGGUCUGUCGCGUCGGAUGUGAAAACCCAGGGCUCAACCCUGGGCCUGCAUUCGAUACGGGCAGACUAGAGUUCGGUAGGGGAGACUGGAAUUCCUGGUGUAGCGGUGAAAUGCGCAGAUAUCAGGAGGAACACCGGUGGCGAAGGCGGGUCUCUGGGCCGUACCUGACGCUGAGGCGCGAAGGCUAGGGGAGCGAACGGG